AAAAAACUAUAAACUUUUUUCUCUUCACUCUUUUCUACUAUUUCUCUGUUCAUAGAUCUAAUGGCAACUAUCAAAUCCAUUAAAGCUCGUCAGAUCUUUGACAGCCGUGGUAACCCCACAGUCGAGGUUGAUGUACAUAUCUCAAAUGGUGUGUUUGCCAGAGCUGCUGUUCCAAGUGGUGCAUCCACCGGAAUUUACGAAGCCCUUGAAUUGAGGGAUGGAGGAUCUGACUACCUCGGAAAGGGUGUUUCGAAGGCUGUUAACAAUGUCAACUCAAUUAUUGGCCCUGCUCUUGUUGGCAAGGACCCAACUGAUCAGACUGGUCUUGAUAACUUCAUGGUUCAUCAGUUAGAUGGAACUCAAAAUGAGUGGGGUUGGUGCAAAGAAAAGCUUGGUGCAAAUGCCAUCCUUGCUGUGUCACUUGCUGUGUGUAAAGCUGGCGCUGCUGUCAGGAAUGUGCCAUUGUACAAGCACAUUGCUGAUUUGGCUGGUAACAAGAAGUUGGUAUUACCAGUUCCUGCCUUCAAUGUGAUUAAUGGUGGAUCUCAUGCCGGAAACAAACUCGCAAUGCAGGAAUUUAUGAUCCUUCCUGUUGGAGCUGCUAAUUUCAAGGAGGCCAUGAAGAUGGGCUGUGAAGUCUAUCACCAUUUGAAGGCUGUGAUUAAGAAGAAAUAUGGUCAGGAUGCCACAAAUGUCGGUGAUGAGGGUGGUUUUGCUCCUAAUAUCCAGGAGAACAAGGAAGGUCUUGAAUUGCUCAAGACAGCCAUUGAGAAAGCAGGUUACACUGGAAAGGUGGUCAUUGGAAUGGAUGUUGCAGCAUCUGAAUUUUACGGAAAGGACAAAUCUUAUGACCUGAACUUCAAAGAAGAGAGCAAUGACGGCUCACAAAAGAUAUCAGGUGACCAACUCAAGGACUUAUACAAGUCAUUUGUGUCCGAGUACCCUAUUGUUUCAAUUGAAGAUCCAUUUGACCAAGAUGACUGGG
rnacentral:misc_RNA from 1 species